UCUUGUACCACGCAUCGAAUCGUUUAAAAAACCAGUCCUCGUUUUAACUCGGUUAUUGCAACAUGUUUCUCGACGAAGGCACGUUUCGACCCACGCGAGCACGAAUAUCGUGACAAUAAUUUUUAUGCUUCGCCUCUAAACGGUAUCGUAAUUGUCGCGUGUGAUUGUCGUGUCGUAAACUGUUAUUAUUUUUUUUUUUAACCGAUUGUAUUUUAGAGAUGAUUACGCUAAAUAAUUUACGAACUAAAUAACUUUUUUUAUUUUUACUCUAUAAAUAAGUUUUCUUUAUCUCUUGGUUACGUUCGUUUCGUUAUCUUGAUUUAUUCCUCUUCGUAUCGGACAACGUGAUUUAGAAGAUUAGAAGGACGGGGAAUGAUGAGCGGCGGUAUACGAGUUCAACGAUCUGUUCUUUCAAUCUCAAAAGAGGGGAGGGGGGGGAGGGGAGGCUUGUUACGUAUUCAGGCGUUAAUCGAGGCUGGCAUAAUUAACUCGAGUAAUUCGAAUCCAGGAUAGGAGGAGGUAAAGAGACGUGAAAAUCCUUUCAGUCGGAUCGUCUCGAUCCUCGUAGGCUGAGGUUUUAUGUAAAUAGAUGUGUGUCAAGAAUAAUGGCUUUUCCAUUGUACUCUCCCGCCUGAAUAAAUUUAAUUUCUAAACAAUUUAAUAUUCAUGAGGAAUUAUGCGCGUCGUAUUGUUUGCACGUUUCCCAGACAAUAUUCUCCGCGGUUCUAACAAUUUUUCCCUAGGAAUUUUUUAUCGUUUAAACUCGAAAUGUACGAUAAUUUCUUAAUAACGAGGAAGAAGAGAGAAAGAGAGAGAGAGAGAGAGAGACCUCUCCAAACACGAAGAACGCGGAAGAGAAACCUUUGUUCCCGCGAGGAGGAGAGCAUGCCUUUGGCGAAUUUGGAACGAGUGCUCGUGUUAAACGUGCGCUUAUACGCGCGAUAAUCGCAGUCGUAACGAACCAACUCCAUCUUGGCAGCAUUCCGCAAAAACCAACGAAACAACCGAACAACGGAAACAAUCUCUUGCGUAAUCUUCAUCUUCACGGAACGGAAGAAAAUUGUCGUUAAAAAACAUUCUCGAGCACGCAAUUACUGUUAUACACAGACACACACACAUCGACGCGUAUACGAAACGCAUAUACCUAACCUGGUGUCGGAGAAACGCCGUGACUGUCGCGUUAUCAGAAAAGGAAGCGGAGCACCCUUUUCUUCGCCGCGUCCUCCAUCCCUCGUGGAACAAAGAGAGGAAGAGCAAGUAGGGAAAAACCGUGCCACCUUUUCGAAACUCCCCCGAAUGGAAGGGGCGAAAAAACAAGCGGGCCAACUACUACUAGUACGAAGUAGUAGUUCCUUUAUCUUCGCCCGUUUCCUUGAUCCACCGGCGACGAAAAGCCAACUGAUUUAUAACGAUUCUCACCCCCUCCCUCUGCGGAAGAUUCACCGUUCGUCCGAGUUUAUUUAUCGAUCCGAGGAGAGAAAGAAAAAAGGAGAGAAAAAGGAAAGCUCCCUCUCCCCGCCUCGGAUAAUUCGUUAUUUAUUCCGAACGAAACGGAGCCGUACCGUCUCGUAUCUUUUUUUUUCCAUCGAGAAACCACGACUCGAGUCCGCGUACACGGUCUUCCGGUCUUUAAAACGGCGGCUAUUUAUCUCCCUGGGAUCGAAUGAUGAAUGAGGAGGAGGAGGAGGAGGAGGAGGAGGGUCGUCGUGCCGCUGCCUGUCCUCCUCGUGCCCCAACCAGAUUUUCCAAGCCAGGAAAGUGAACGAGGUGCACCGCGACGAGGCUGUUCCCUUUUCAUCGGACGAACACCGCGUGGAACGCGCCAAGGAGACGCGAAGGAGACGUGAAAAGAAGAAGGGCGGUGGGUUCAAACUGGGGAUCGAGGGAGAGGAAUCGUGGUCCUCUUUCGAGAAAAAGGGGGUUUUGAAAGGAGGGAGGAAAGAAAGAAGGGAGGAGGGCAAGGGUUGGAAUUUUCUAAAGACGCUUACGCUUCACCCGGCCGCGAAGAAGCGCGGCGAGGAAAGCAGGCUGCCGCCGCCUAUAUUUACUCAUUUUCUUUUCCCCGUUUCUCAAAGGGGAGCGUCUUCUUCUUCUUCUUCUUCUCGGUCUCGUCGCUCGGCGUAAAAAUGCGCGGCCAUUCCUAAAGUCUUGCCUAAAGGCUUAACCUCGCGUGCUCGUAAUCCACACCUCUGGCUCUGAGCAUCUCUCGUUUGAGCAGACCUCCCCGACCUUACUUCUUUUUUUUUUUCUCCUUCGUUCUCGCCGCAUCUCGGAAAGUCCUGAUUUGGAGUUUCGAUUCUCGAAGAGAGAAGACGCCUUCGUUUCCUUCCCUGAAAAGUGUUUUAUCCGGAAAAAAGAGAGAUGUAUUUUUAUGUCGCUCAGGGGGUCACUAAAGAAGUUCCCGGAGAGGAAAGUUUUUCUGAUAACGAUUCGUCUUUGACGACAGUUGUUUUAUGACGAAACGAAAGGAGACGAAGGAAGAAAAGCAUCGAUGAGAGGCAACGAGAAGUUAAACUAGAGAAAUAGGGAAAGGAGAAGAGGAGAGAUGAUUUUGGACGAUACUCGAUAAAAAAAUGGCUAAACUUG